rnacentral:rRNA from 1 species
GUCGCAAGCUUACCCUGUGAAGGUCCUAUAGUAAGCAAAAUGGGUAUAUCCCAAAACGUCAGGUCGAGGUGUAGCUUACGAGGUGGGAAGAAAUGGGCUACAUUUUCUAUAUCAGAAUAAUACGAACGGCAUCGUGAAAUUUAAUGCCUGAAGGUGGAUUUAGUAGUAAAAAACAAAUAGAGAGUCUUUUUGAACCAGGCUCUGAGACGCGCACACACCGCCCGUCACUCUCCCCAUUUUAUAUUUUAAUCAUAUAAAUAAAAAGAUAACCCAAAGAGCGGGGAGGCAAGUCGUAACAUGG